CAAAAAAAGGAAAAAAACUCAAAAAGAACAAAGAUGGCUUAAGAGAACUUCAGCACAUAAUGAAACAUAAUCAUAUCAGUAUAAUAGAGAUAGCAGAAGAAGAGGAGGAAGGAAUAGAAAACCUGUUUGAAAAAAUAGUACUAGAAAACUUCCCUAA